UACGUAGGGGGCAAGCGUUAUCCGGAUUUACUGGGUGUAAAGGGAGCGUAGACGGUAUGGCAAGCCUGAAGUGAAAGCCCAGGGCUUAACCCUGGGACUGCUUUGGAAACUGUUAGACUAGAGUGCUGGAGAGGUAAGUGGAAUUCCUAGUGUAGCGGUGAAAUGCGUAGAUAUUAGGAGGAACACCAGUGGCGAAGGCGGCUUACUGGACAGUAACUGACGUUGAGGCUCGAAAGCGUGGGGAGCAAACAGG
rnacentral:rRNA from 1 species